GAUGAAGAACGUAGUGAAAUGCGAUAAGUAAUGUGAAUUGCAGAAUUCAGUGAAUCAUCGAAUCUUUGAACGCACCUUGCACCCUUUGGACUGCUCCAAAGGGUAUGCUCGUUUGAGUGUCAUUGUACUCUCACACUCUCUGAUCCUUUGGAUUUGGGGAGCAGUGGACUUGGGUGCUUGCUGCUUCCUUGUGGCUCACCUGAAAUGCAUCAGUGCAUCUCUCGAUUGGACAUAGUACGGCGUGAUAAGUGUCUUCGCCGGCACCUCAUAUGAGGGUGGCCGAUCGGGAGCUCUGUGCUUUCAAACCGUCUUCGGACAACGCUGACAACUUGACCUCAAAUCGAGUAGGACUACCCGCUGAACUUAAGCAUAUUCAAUAAGCGGAGGA
rnacentral:misc_RNA from 1 species